GUGGAUUAGGAUUCUAAGAGAGGGAUUCUAGGAUUUCUAGGGUUUAGAGAUUAGACAGCUCGAGAAUGGCUUUAAAGAAAUAAAAAAGAAUAGUGACGGUCUGACGAAAAUCUCAUUUAAAAAUAGGCUCCCUGACAACUUAGUCGACUAAGAUUAAGUUUGAGUCGACUAAGUACUGAGUUGACUAAAUUUUUCAUAAAGAAAAAACUUAGCCGGC
rnacentral:lncRNA from 1 species